UGGAUCAGGGAUGGUAACUGCCGGCGUCCGAGUCACGGAUGAUGGGUGAUACGUGUCUGGAACUCUGAGGUCCAG